GUGCUGCCGUGACUAUUCUGCAAGGCGCACAUUUGGGGGUCUCCUCAGGGCUGCUGGCCCGUGCCUUCUAGACCUUGGUUGUUUCCUCACUAAAAUGAGGGCACUGGCCUUGAGAUCAGAGGCCUCCUGCGUGCCCUGGCCUCAGAAUCUGUGGUGCCAGGGGGAAGGGGGUGGCAAAGAGAUUGGCUCUGUGAUUUGAGAGUUGGAAAGAAGAGUCUUUUAAACCCUUCAACAAAUAUUUGUGGAACACUCCACUUCCACGGGGCCAGGGCAGCACGAACUCUCUGGAAAGCCCUUGUGCCUGCAGGCAGCCAUGCAGAAAAGCCCUGGCCCCAGCCUCCUCCCCUCCUCCCAGCCCAGCCCUGUGGGGCUUGCAGCCGCCUCAAGUCACCUGCCUCCUCUGGGUGUCUGUGAUCUGGUCGCCCUUUUCAACUAUUUUCCUGUCUGCCCCGCUGACGCGUCCGCCGCCGGAACACCCCGCUGGCUGCGAGAACCUCCUCUCUCUGACUUCCCGCCUUCCUGCUGCGAUCCCGGUUCCGCCCCUCUCCAGCACCCUCGGCCGCUAGCGCCUAAGCUCUCCGCGGCCACCAGGGGGCGCCCGCGGCCAAGUCUGGGCGCGGGAGACGCCAAGCGCCC
rnacentral:lncRNA from 1 species